rnacentral:rRNA from 1 species
UGGGGAAUUUUGGACAAUGGGCGAAAGCCUGAUCCAGCAAUGCCGCGUGUGUGAAGAAGGCCUUCGGGUUGUAAAGCACUUUUGUCCGGAAAGAAAUCCUUGGCUCUAAUACAGUCGGGGGAUGACGGUACCGGAAGAAUAAGCACCGGCUAACUACGUGCCAGCAGCCGCGGUAAUACGUAGGGUGCAAGCGUUAAUCGGAAUUACUGGGCGUAAAGCGUGCGCAGGCGGUUUGCUAAGACCGAUGUGAAAUCCCCGGGCUCAACCUGGGAAACUGCAUUGGUGACUGGCAAGCUAGAGUAUGGCAGAGGGGGGUAGAAUUCCACGUGUAGCAGUGAAAUGCUAGAGAUGUGGAGGAAUACCGAUGGCGAAGGCAGCCCCCUGGGCCAAUACUGACGCUCAU